GUCCAAGUGCCUUAUAACAUGUCUUUAUAACUGGCUGUGUAAGAAUGAAGAAAAGCUGUCCAUCUUCUGAGAAGGAAGCAGCAUGUGCCAUCCUUCUGUCAGAAAACACCAAAGAGAUGAAGAAAUGAGAAAUCCAGAAACCAAAGACCUUGCUCUUUUGUCAAACAGACUUGGUAGAGCAGAGUUGCAAAAUCAGACCUUUGGGGGCUUGCGUGUUUCUCCUCUUACUCCCUGGUGUAGAAGCCCUGCCUUGAACUUCAGGCUGCCUGGCUUGGAUCCUGAUGCUGCUUUGCUGACACAAUCCAUUCUCCCAGGGAACACCCAGAGUUCCACUCCAGCCCUGGCAACGCUGCAGCAGAGGCCAACUGUACGGAAAGUCUACAUUGGCUCGGAACAAUUGAGGCUGGGAGAGGCUGGUGAUUUCCUGCUUGGUCGUCUUUUAAAACCCAGCCAUCUGAAUCCGAGAGUUGCUUCUUCAGCAAGGCCUCCCCUGACUCCUUCAGAUGUCUAAGCACCACCCCUACUCUUCUGCUGCAGCAUCUCCACUUGCUUUUGUCCUUCAUCUCCCUGAAAUUAUUUGCUUACUCAUCCAUCCAUGUCAGUUGCAAAAGCAUGACUUCCUCUAGUCCAAAGGCCAUUCAUGUUCAAUAUGUUAGCACUCGGAGCGUCUCCAGUGGUUGUUUCAAACAAGGCAAAUGAGUUCAGUUGAACUUUAUAUGUUCUGCCCUCCGACUGUGACUGUUAUUUACUUCCCUCCAAACAAAAUGUAAUAAUAAAAUGACUAACUGAACACUGCCCUUUA
rnacentral:lncRNA from 1 species